GUUUUUGGCCGCACCACCCUGAAAAUGUGAUUUUGGAAGCUAAAUAGGGUUGACCCUGGAUAGUACUGUGAUAGGAGGCCACCUGGGAAUAUUAGGUACUGUAAGGA
ensembl:rRNA 5S_rRNA 5S ribosomal RNA